UACGUAGGGCGCGAGCGUUGUCCGGAUUUAUUGGGCGUAAAGAGCUCGUAGGCGGCUUGUCGCGUCGUCCGUGAAAACCUGCGGCUCAACUGCAGGCUGGCGGUCGAUACGGGCAGGCUGGAGUUCGGUAGGGGAGAAUGGAAUUCCUGGUGUAGCGGUGAAAUGCGCAGAUAUCAGGAAGAACACCCGUGGCGAAGGCGGUUCUCUGGGACGGUACUGACGCUGAGACGCGAAAGCGUGGGGAGCGAACAGG
rnacentral:rRNA from 1 species